UAAAGGGAAUUUGGUUCUUUGAAGAAAGAAGAACCUGAAGAAAACUAACCAGAAAUUAUUCAAAUAUAAGCACACAGGAUCCAGGACUGUGAUUGGACAUAGAUUUGUUAUAACUGUCACCCUCGAUGUUGAGAUCAUGUCUUCUGUGGGAGUGUCACUGUGGUCACUGUGGUUGAAGCUCAACAAUGAAAUGAUGGUCCAAGAUCACUGGCAAUGGAGUGGAUUCGACUCAGUGCAGUCUGCCCACAGCUGCUGCCUGGACUCAUCACUCUUGAUCACAGUGCAUUGAUUAGGACUGACUUUCUAGUGCAAGUGGCUUCCCACAUUUGUGACUGUGCAAAAAUGACAUGUCCUGAGACCAGGACCCCGAGUCUGAGACAUAGCUGCAUGAAAUGGAAACCUAGACUUUCUCCAUGUUUGUUUCUUACCCUUGAUGCUUAUUUAUUAUGUGAUGUUUGGAGAGAUUAGAAACAUGGCGUGAAAGGACUAGCAACCUCCAGCAACCAUCUCCAGUGCAGAGAACACCAUUAUGAUGGCUUUCAGGCAAAGCGUGGCACCCUACCUCAAGGUUAUCUGCGACAAAGACAGUGAGCCCAAACACUGAGCUAUUCGCAACUUUGAAUCAUUUUAGAAUGGUCCCUUGAGAGAAUAGAUGCAGAGAGGAGACUUUUUUUUGUUUAA
rnacentral:sRNA from 1 species